AUGGUCACCAGGCUCUUCUUCGGCAUGGCUUUUUAUCUCCUGUGGGCAGGACCUGUGGAGGCCGGGAUCACCCAGAAACCAAGACACAAGAUCACAGUGACAGGAGAGACAGUGACUCUGGAAUGUCACCAGACUGAUAACCGUGACUAUAUGUACUGGUACCGACAAGACCUGGGACACGGGCUGAGGCUGAUCCAUUACUCCAAUAGUGUUGACAACAUUGAGAAAGGAGAAAUCCCUGAUGGGUACAACGUCUCGAGAUCAAAUACAGAGGAUUUCCCCCUGACCCUGGAGUCUGUUAUCCCCUCCCGGACAUCUGUGUACUUCUGUGCCAGCAGUGCAUCGGGAGGCAUUGGUUUUGGAUGGAGAAGCAGAUCGGGGGUUUUUGUAUUUAAUUAA